UCAUACAAGAAACCCAAAUCAAUAGCCAUCCGGCGUAAAGAGUGGCCCCAUGCUAUCUACACCAGCUAAGAUCAAAAUGUAACUGAGCUGUCAUAAGCCCAAGAUCCACCUAAACCCAACCUCAAGUCAUCUUAGCCCCAUGAUUGAUUUUAAUCCACGAAAGCUAGGACCCAAACUGGGAUUAGAUACCCCAUUAUGCCUAGCCCUAAAUCUAGAUACCCCUCCCACCUAUGUAUCCGCCCGAGAACUACGAGCACAAACGCUUAAAACUCUAAGGACUUGGCGGUGCCCCAAACCCACCUAGAGGAGCCUGUUCUAUAAUCGAUAAUCCACGAUCCACCCAACCACCCCUUGCCAGUACAGCCUACAUACCGCCGUCGUCAGCCCACCUCUAAUGAAAGAACAAUAGUGAGCUCAAUAGCCCCGCCCGCUAAUAAGACAGGUCAAGGUAUAGCCCAUGGGGUGGAAGAAAUGGGCUACAUUUUCUAACCUAGAAUAAGCGAAAAAGGAUGUGAAACCCCUCCUUGGAAGAAGGAUUUAGUAGUAAAGUAAGACCAUGCCCCUUUAAGCUUACUUUAAAACGGCCCUGAGGCACGUACAUACCGCCCGUCACCCUCUUCACAAGCCGCCCGUACUCAUAGAUAAUACCUAUCAGCCAAAGAUGAGGUAAGUCGUAACAA
rnacentral:rRNA from 1 species